UCAUGGCAUAGUUGUUUGAGUAUUAGACUACAACUCUGGAGACCAAGGUUCGAGUCCUUGCUCACCCAUGAA